rnacentral:lncRNA from 1 species
AGCAGAACAGAGAGUUGAUUCUGGUGGUUGGAAGUGGGGGUGAGCUGGACCUGAGGACAUGAGCAUUGAAGAACUGGCCUUAACAUGUCUGCUGUAUGGUGGGGAGGAGGAGGAAGAGAUGCCCUUGGCCCCCCACAUCCCUUAACACUUACAGCAGGAAGACAAUUUCUUCCUAUCUUUAAUGGGAAACUCUUCUAGAAAUUACAAGGGCAGAAUUCAAGGCUAUGCACUGCAGAGAUGAACAGGACAAAAAAAAAAAAAAAAGGUACAAAAAGGAACCGAUGCCAUAGUUCUGAGAAAAAUACACUUCACAGACUCCCAUCUUAGAAACUCUGGGAUGGAGAACAGAGUUUCAUAUUAAACAACAGCUGCCAACUUCCA